ensembl:lncRNA
GCCCAAUUAGCGUUAAGAAUGCCACGUGGUAUGAGGGUGGGCACAAUGGGCUUUCAGAAGAGCCAAUCAUCAGCCGCAAGCGCCAACGCUGGCGGAGGAAGGGAACCAAUAGGAAGGAAGCGGAGGUAAAAACAGAAGAGGCAGUGUGUGGGAAAGGCGGAACCAAAGAGGAGGGAAUACACCUGGGGGAAACCCAAGCACCCGAGCCUCUCAGGGGGCGGGACAGUAAACACAAAAUGGACCAAUCAAAGUGCCAAACAUAUACAACCGCUUGGUAAUUGAUAAACCCAACAGAAAAUGGAUUCGACUGGCGCAGCUUUUGGGUUGGUGAACUUAUAGCUGAGUAGGCAAAAGCCGUAUGAAUGGUACUGUUUGAUCCAGGUCUGACCUCUACCAUUCCACUCUCAGCAAUCUCCCUAAUUGGAGUUCCCGUCGUGGCGCAGUGGUUAACGAAUCUGACUAGGAACCAUGAGGUUGUGGGUUCGAUCCCUGCCCUUGCUCAGUGGGUUAACGAUCCGGCGUUGCCGUGAGCUGUGGUGUAGGUUGCAGAUGUGGCUCGGAUCCUGUGUUGCUGUGGCUCUGGCGUAGGCUGGCAGCUACAGCUCCAUUUAGACCCCUAGCCUGGGAACUUCCAUAUGCUGCGGGAGCAGCCCAAGAAAUGACAAAAAAAAAAAAAAAAAAAAAAAAAAAGCAAUCUCCCUAAUGCAGAAAUAAUCCUUGAGGAUUGCUUUACAGAUAUUCAGAUGUCAAGGACCCACUCUUCAUGACCUGCCAGGGCCUUGAUUGUACCCCAUAACAAGUAGUUCCUGCUCUACUCACCCUAGCCUUUUAUUAUGCUUUUAUUUCCGAUAACUGUCUCCCCUUCCCAGCCAAACUGAGCUAAGAGCUGGGACCUUUACAGAAGUCCACUGCACAUCUUAGCUCAGGACAAACACAUACCAGGACUGGUAAGCAUUAUGCUCAAUAAAAAGCCACUUUGUGGGUAAAUGGCAUUAUUUUUGGCUAUAUUUAGCAGUGGAAGAAACCUCAUGACACCUCAGUGAGAUGCUGCUGCUUCUAGGGAAAUCCUGGACUUGCACUGUCCAGAAUACAAGCCCAGGUAAGGAAAAAGUAAAGCUUCCCUUAGACUACCUGGGAAGAUAUACUUUCCAGAGAACUAGGCAGUAGAAGGAUCAGAACCAGUAACCACAAAGCAUUUUUUUAAAAUAUAAUAUAGGAAAUAACAGAGUGUGUAACUCCUAGUAAUAAUAAGUAUUCAAUCAUAAAAUUUCAGUUAAAUAUAUACAUGGAGUUCCCGUUGUGGCUCAGGGGGUUAAGAAUCCAACUGGUGUCCAUAAGCAUGCAGGUUCCAUCCCUGGCCUCACUUAGUGGGUUAAAGGAUCCUGAGUUGCCAUGAACUGUGAUGCAGGUUGCUGAUGUGGCUUGGAUCUGGCGUGGCGGUGGCACAGGCUGGCAGCUGUGGCUCCGACUCGACCCCUAGCCUGGGAACUUCCAUAUUCCGUGGGUGUGGCCCUAAAAAGACAAGAAAAUAAAUAAAUAAUGAAUAAACGUAUAUAUGUAUAUUUACUAGGCUACAGUGUAAACUGUAUUUCUCACUGGUGGUUAUAGUCAAAAAAUCCUGGAGUUCCCGUUGUGGCGCAGUGGUUAACGAAUCCGACUGGGAACCAUGAGGUUGCGGGUUCGAU